AAAAAAAUCAACACCGGUGGAAGUUUUUCUCCCGAUGCCGUGCAGCUCAGAACACAGUAGACCAGAUGUGGGAGCGCUUUGAUGCAUAUUUACACCGCCCUUUGACUCUGCUGUAGAGGUCAUGUCUGGGAAUUUCAAGAUAUGCAGCUGGAUGCAAAGUCAAUCGAGUAAAGCAGAUGAGCUAAUUGCAGAGAAGACAAUGAAAUCUAUCGGACUUGUGAAGUAGUGUCAAACCGAACUCAUUUAUGCUGGUGAUGGCUAUGGUGGAUCCAGGGCAUGGAAUGAAAACACUAUGCAUGAACGGGAUCAUACUCCGGUUGCUGUUCCUCAAAUAAACCGUUCAGAGGCACAUACAGGUAAGUCUAUGAGGCUUAUAAAUCAGUGCAUCAG